GACAGAGGGUGCAAACGUUUGUUCGGAAUUACUGGGCGUAAAGCGCGUGUAGGCGGCCCUGCAAGUCGGAUGUGAAAUCCCACGGCUCAACCGUGGAAGUGCAUUCGAAACUGCAGGGCUAGAGUCCUGGAGAGGAAGGUGGAAUGCUUGGUGUAGAGGUGAAAUUCGUAGAUAUCAAGCGGAACACCGGUGGCGAAGGCGGCCUUC
rnacentral:rRNA from 1 species